rnacentral:rRNA from 1 species
AAGAGAGAGACAUGCGCGCAUAUCAAUAAGCGGAGGAAAAGAAACUAACAAGGAUUCCCUUAGUAACGGCGAGUGAAGCGGGAAGAGCUCAAAUUUGAAAUCUUCAAGGUUUUACCUUGACGAAUUGUAGUUUAAAGAAGUGUUUUCUGCUGAAGUUUUGGUAAAAGUUCUUUGGAAUAGGACAUCAUAGAGGGUGAGAAUCCCGUAUUUGACCAUUAUUUUCAGCUUUGUGAUACACUUUCAAAGAGUCGGAUUGUUUGGGAAUGCAGUCCAAAAUGGGUGGUAAAUUUCAUCUAAAGCUAAAUAUUGGCGAGAGACCGAUAGCGAACAAGUACCGUGAGGGAAAGAUGAAAAGAACUUUGAAAAGAGAGUUAAACAGUACGUGAAAUUGUCAAAAGGGAAGCGUUUGACACCAGUGUUGUUUUCUCGAAAAUCAAUUAAAAAUGGCUCGAUUUUGUAUUGUUGAGACCUUAAAAGCUCACUGUACAUUUUUCGUGUCUUUUUUAAUGCACCUUUUCGUUUAACAAGUCAACAUCAGUUUCUUUUGUUGUAAAAGGGUCAUUGGAAGGUGGCUUUCUUUUCGGAGAAAGUGUUUAUAGCCUUUGGCCUCUGCAAUCGGAGAGACUGAGGUCUGCAGCGUAGACUCUUCGGGGUUAGAUACAUUUGUGCUAAGUUAUAGCUUUUUAUAGACAAGCUUGUUGACUAUAAUUAGUCUUGUAGCUUACUCGCUUAUGCUAUUUUACCUACGCUUAGGAUGUUGAAGAUGUAGCACAUCAU